rnacentral:rRNA from 1 species
GACGAACGCUGGCGGCGUGCCUAAUACAUGCAAGUCGAGCGGAAUGAUGAAGAAGCUUGCUUCUUCUGAUUUUAGCGGCGGACGGGUGAGUAACACGUGGGCAACCUACCUUGUAGAUUGGGAUAACUCCGGGAAACCGGGGCUAAUACCGAAUAAUCCAUUUUGCUUCAUGGCGAGAUGUUGAAAGACGGUUUCGGCUGUCACUACAAGAUGGGCCCGCGGCGCAUUAGCUAGUUGGUAGGGUAAUGGCCUACCAAGGCGACGAUGCGUAGCCGACCUGAGAGGGUGAUCGGCCACACUGGAACUGAGACACGGCCCAGACUCCUACGGGAGGGCAGCAGUAGGGAAUCUUCCGCAAUGGACGAAAGUCUGACGGAGCAACGCCGCGUGAGUGAAGAAGGUUUUCGGAUCGUAAAACUCUGUUGUUAGGGAAGAACACGUACGAGAGUAACUGCUCGUACCUUGACGGUACCUAACCAGAAAGCCACGGCUAACUACGUG